rnacentral:rRNA from 1 species
CUAUUAAUACCCCCAAAAACACCAAUUGAUAAACAACAAACCAUUUUUCCUCCCAAGUACGGGCGACAGAAAAGGACACCUACAUGAGCCAUAAAAAAGUACCGCAAGGGAACGCUGAAAAAGAAAUGAAACAAACCAGUAAAGUUUAAAAAAGCAGAGACUUAUACUCGUACCUUUUGCAUCAUGACUUAGCUAGCAAAAACCAAGCAAAAGGCACUUUAGUUUGACUUCCCGAAACUAAGUGAGCUACUCCAAAACAGCCUAAAAGCAGGGCUAACCCGUCUCUGUGGCAAAAGAGUGGGAUGAUCUUAGAGUAGAGGUGACAAACCUAUCGAACUUAGUAAUAGCUGGUUGCCUAAGAAAUGAAUAGAAGUUCAGCUUUUUGAUUUUUCUUCUCAAAUUUAUUUCACUUAUAACUGACCCAGAAAACACCAAAAAAGUUAAUUAAAGGGGGUACAGCUCCUUUAAAACAAGAUACGACUUCAUCAGCCGGGUAAAGAUCAUAAUUAUUAAGGCAAAAAUGUUUUAGUGGGCCUGAAAGCAGCCACCUACAAGAAAGCGUUAAAGCUCAUUCAUACUUUCGCCAUCAAUUUAGAUAACAAAUCCCAACCCGCUAAUUUUAUUAGGCCGCCCCAUGUAUACAUGGGGGUGAUUCUGCUAAUAUGAGUAAUAAGAAAGACCCAGUUUUUCUCCUUGCACACGUGUAAAUCGAAACGGACCCCCCACCGAAUUUUAAUCGGCCCCAAAAGAGGGUAAUGAGCCACUAACUUUAGUAACAAGAAAAAUACCCAAAGAUUAACCGUUAACCCCACACUGGUGUGCCUACAAGGAAAGACUAAAAGAAAAAGAAGGAACUCGGCAAAUACAAGCCUCGCCUGUUUACCAAAAACACCGCCUCUUGUACACAAAAAUAAGAGGUCA